GCUUACGGCCACACCGCCUGCUUCACGCCCGAUCUCGUUUGAUCUCGGAAGCUAAGAUAGGUGGGCCUGGUUAGUACUUGGAUGGGAGACCGCCUGGGAAUACCAGGUGCUGUACUUU
rnacentral:rRNA from 1 species